UACGUAGGGGGCAAAGCGUUGUCCGGAUUUAUUGGGCGUAAAGAGCGUGUAGGCGGCCUGAAAGGUCAGCUGUGAAAACUCGGGGCUCAACCCCGAGACGCGGUUGAAACCAUCUGGCUAGAGUCCGGAAGAGGAGUGUGGAAUUCCCGGUGUAGCGGUGAAAUGCGCAGAUAUCGGGAAGAAACACCCGUGGCGAAGGCGGGCAACUCUGGGACGGUACUGACGCUGAGACGCGG
rnacentral:rRNA from 1 species